GGAAUAAAGUCGGGUAUGCAUACCCGUUUGCAUGUACUUUAUGAAUAAGGAUCGGCUAACUCCGUGCCAGCAGCCGCGGUAAUACGGAGGAUCCGAGCGUUAUCCGGAUUUAUUGGGUUUAAAGGGAGCGUAGAUGGAUGUUUAAGUCAGUUGUGAAAGUUUGCGGCUCAACCGUAAAAUUGCAGUUGAUACUGGUUUCCUUGAGUGCAGUUGAGGCAGGCGGAAUUCGUGGUGUAGCGGUGAAAUGCUUAGAUAUCACGAAGAACCCCGAUUGCGAAGGCAGCUUGCUAAACUGUAACUGACGUUCAUGCUCGAAAGUGUGGGUAUCAAACAGGAUUAGAUACCCUGGUAGUCCACACGGUAAACGAUGAAUACUCGCUGUUUGCGAUAUACUGCAAGCGGCCAAGCGAAAGCGUUAAGUAUUCCACCUGGGGAGUACGCCGGCAACGGUGAAACUCAAAGGAAUUGACGGGGGCCCGCACAAGCGGAGGAACAUGUGGUUUAAUUCGAUGAUACGCGAGGAACCUUACCCGGGCUUAAAUUGCAGACGAAUUACGAGGAAACUUGUAAGCCGCAAGGCGUCUGUGAAGGUGCUGCAUGGUUGUCGUCAGCUCGUGCCGUGAGGUGUCGGCUUAAGUGCCAUAACGAGCGCAACCCUUGUUGUCAGUUACUAACAGGUUACGCUGAGGACUCUGACAAGACUGCCAUCGUAAGAUGUGAGGAAGGUGGGGAUGACGUCAAAUCAGCACGGCCCUUACGUCCGGGGCUACACACGUGUUACAAUGGGAGGUACAGAAGGCAGCUACCCGGCGACGGGAUGCCAAUCCCCAAAACCUCUCUCAGUUCGGACUGGAGUCUGCAACCCGACUCCACGAAGCUGGAUUCGCUAGUAAUCGCGCAUCAGCCACGGCGCGGUGAAUACGUUCCCGGGCCUUGUACACACCGCCCGUCAAGCCAUGAAAGCCGGGGGUACCUGAAGUGCGUAACCGCAAGGAGCGCCCUAGGGUAAAACCGGUAAUUGGGGCUAAGUCGUAACAAGGUAGCCGUACCGGAAGGUGCGGCUG
rnacentral:rRNA from 1 species